rnacentral:ncRNA from 1 species
GGCGCGUCUCUUGCUAAAUGAUCGGCACAGGGCAGCCAACGGCGGUUGCCUGUCGAACGACAAAGGCGUCGC